rfam:Tersicoccus phoenicis strain 1p05MA scaffold66_cov287_read201, whole genome shotgun sequence.
UGCGGUCCUCGGUAGUGAUCUCCGGGCACACCGCGUCCACACGACGCGGAUCAGCCCCGGGGAUCUCGAUCGAAGACCGGG